rnacentral:rRNA from 1 species
UACGAAGGGGGCUAGCGUUGCUCGGAAUCACUGGGCGUAAAGCGCACGUAGGCGGAUCUUUAAGUCAGGGGUGAAAUCCCAAGGCUCAACCUUGGAACUGCCUUUGAUACUGGGGGAUCUCGAGUCCGGAAGAGGUUGGUGGAACUGCGAGUGUAGAGGUGAAAUUCGUAGAUAUUCGCAAGAACACCAGUGGCGAAGGCGGCCAACUGGUCCGGAACUGGACGCUAGGUGCGAAAGCGUGGGGAGCAACA